rnacentral:rRNA from 1 species
GACGAACGCUGGCGGCGUGCUUAACACAUGCAAGUCGAGCGGUAAGGCCUUUCGGGGUACACGAGCGGCGAACGGGUGAGUAACACGUGGGUGAUCUGCCCUGCACUUCGGGAUAAGCCUGGGAAACUGGGUCUAAUACCGGAUAUGACCUCCUAUCGCAUGGUGGGUGGUGGAAAGAUUUAUCGGUGCAGGAUGGGCCCGCGGCCUAUCAGCUUGUUGGUGGGGUAAUGGCCUACCAAGGCGACGACGGGUAGCCGACCUGAGAGGGUGACCGGCCACACUGGGACUGAGACACGGCCCAGACUCCUACGGGAGGCAGCAGUGGGGAAUAUUGCACAAUGGGCGAAAGCCUGAUGCAGCGACGCCGCGUGAGGGAUGACGCCUUCGGGUUGUAAACCUCUUUCAGCAGGGACGAAGCGCAAGUGACGGUACCUGCAGAAGAAGCACCGGCUAACUACGUG